UCCUGGCUCAGAUUGAACGCUGGCGGCAGGCCUAACACAUGCAAGUCGAGCGGUAGCACAGAGAGCUUGCUCUCGGGUGACGAGCGGCGGACGGGUGAGUAAUGUCUGGGAAACUGCCUGAUGGAGGGGGAUAACUACUGGAAACGGUAGCUAAUACCGCAUAACGUCGCAAGACCAAAGUGGGGGACCUUCGGGCCUCAUGCCAUCAGAUGUGCCCAGAUGGGAUUAGCUAGUAGGUGGGGUAAUGGCUCACCUAGGCGACGAUCCCUAGCUGGUCUGAGAGGAUGACCAGCCACACUGGAACUGAGACACGGUCCAGACUCCUACGGGAGGCAGCAGUGGGGAAUAUUGCACAAUGGGCGCAAGCCUGAUGCAGCCAUGCCGCGUGUAUGAAGAAGGCCUUCGGGUUGUAAAGUACUUUCAGCGAGGAGGAAGGCGUUAAGGUUAAUAACCUUAGCGAUUGACGUUACUCGCAGAAGAAGCACCGGCUAACACCGUGCCAGCAGCCGCGGUAAUACGGAGGGUGCAAGCGUUAAUCGGAAUUACUGGGCGUAAAGCGCACGCAGGCGGUCUGUUAAGUCAGAUGUGAAAUCCCCGGGCUCAACCUGGGAACUGCAUUUGAAACUGGCAGGCUUGGGUCUUGUAGAGGGGGGUAGAAUUCCAGGUGUAGCGGUGAAAUGCGUAGAGAUCUGGAGGAAUACCGGUGGCGAAGGCGGCCCCCCUGGACAAAGACUGACGCUCAGUGCGAAAG
rnacentral:rRNA from 1 species